rnacentral:rRNA from 1 species
UACGUAGGGUGCGAGCGUUAAUCGGAAUUACUGGGCGUAAAGCGUGCGCAGGCGGUUAUAUAAGACAGAUGUGAAAUCCCCGGGCUCAACCUGGGACCUGCAUUUGUGACUGUAUAGCUAGAGUACGGUAGAGGGGGAUGGAAUUCCGCGUGUAGCAGUGAAAUGCGUAGAUAUGCGGAGGAACACCGAUGGCGAAGGCAAUCCCCUGGACCUGUACUGACGCUCAUGCACGAAAGCUAGGGGAGCGAAUGGG